GCAGCGGCGGUGGAGGUGGAUGGGGACAAAUUCGACUACAACAUAGAGGAUUGCCGCCGCAGGUUCCAGGCCGUCUACCCUGGUGAAUCGUUCAAGCACGACGCCUAGGGUUCCCCAUCGCUAUCCUUUGGUUCGCCUCUGGUGUCUACCACGACGUUCCAAUCGCCAGAGUCGGAGCCCCGCCAUCGUCCAAUCCUCGACUUGGGGCCGUCUCUCAUCAAUUCCAGCCAUUAGAGCACUGCACCAACAAAGGGAACCCAAGAGCAGCUCCUCGCGAAAAUCCUCCAUCGCAUCGAAUUUUUGAGUUCUUCCAGAACUUCGGUGAGAUUGCUUCUGCACUGUUCGUCACAGGACGAUUUGUGCAGGUCCAUACUUCCUUUUUCCAAUGUGGUCGAGGUCUCUAGCAAGGAUACCCUCCAUGGGGUGUUCCGCAACUUCGUGGACUGCGUCUGCUCACCCAACGCCAGUGGAGAUCCGCUGCUGCAACACCUCAAGGAAGCGUCCUGCAACACAGCGCAACGGCCGCAGGAUUGUCCUUCAGGAACUCGGCACCUGGACCUAGGCAGGGCAACGUCGUCUGUGCUAUCCUUGUCUUCCUGGUCCAUGCUUCCUUUUUUUGAAGUCUGCGCGGUCGAGGUCUAUGGCAAGGACGCCCUCCCUGGGGUAUUCCGCAACUUCAUGGACUGCAUCUGCUCACCCGACGUCAGUGGAGAUCCACUGCUGCGACGCGUCAAGGAAGCGUCCUGCACAGCGUAGCGGCCGCGGGGUCAUCCUUCAGGAACUUGGCGUGCGACCUGCUCACCUAGACUUGGCGGGGCAGCGGCGUCUGUGCUAUUCUCGUCAUCCUGGGGCGAUCGGCAAUAUCAACGGAUGAUUCUUUGAAGGUUGUUGCAUCCAGGUCGAUGAUACCUGAAAUUCUUCGGAGUUCUUUUGAAUCGAAAGAUCAGGAAAUAAGCUUGUGGUGACUUUCUGAGGUUUUCGCAUUGGACCGUUUGGAACUUCGGAUUGGCAGAGAGCUAGAGACCCCGGUGCUCUGAAGGAUGUUGAAUUUGAGAACAGAAUUUAUUGUUGUUAAAUAAUAUUUGCUUCUUUCAUAUGGAAAAGUUAGCGUUGUUGGGAGCUCGAUGUUGCAGUGGGCCUUGACAGUGGCUAGCUGGGAGUUGGCGAGGUAGAUGUCGUCGUCG